rnacentral:rRNA from 1 species
UCGAGGGGUAUAGGUUUUCGGACCUAGAGACCGGCGCACGGGUGCGUAACGCGUAUGCAAUCUACCUUUUACAGAGGGAUAGCCCAGAGAAAUUUGGAUUAAUACCUCAUAGUAUUACGACUCGGCAUCGAGAUGUAAUUAAAGUCACAACGGUAAAAGAUGAGCAUGUGUCCCAUUAGCUUGUUGGUAAGGUAACGGCUUACCAAGGCAACGAUGGGUAGGGGUCCUGAGAGGGAGAUCCCCCACACUGGUACUGAGACACGGACCAGACUCCUACGGGAGGCAGCAGUGAGGAAUAUUGGUCAAUGGGCGCAAGCCUGAACCAGCCAUGCCGCGUGCAGGAUGAAGCAUCUAUGGUGUGUAAACUGCUUUUGUACGAGAAGAAACACUCCUUCGUGAAGGAGCUUGACGGUAUCGUAAGAAUAAGGACCGGCUAACUCCGUGCCAGCAGCCGCGGUAAUACGGAGGGUCCAAGCGUUAUCCGGAAUCAUUGGGUUUAAAGGGUCCGUAGGCGGUUUUGUAAGUCGGUGGUGAAAGCCCAUCGCUCAACGGUGGAACGGCCAUUGAUACUGCAAGACUUGAAUUAUUGGGAAGCAACUAGAAUAUGUAGUGUAGCGGUGAAAUGCUUAGAGAUUACAUGGAAUACCAAUUGCGAAGGCAGGUUGCUACCAAUAUAUUGACGCUGAUGGACGAAAGCGUGGGGAGCGA